UAGGAUGGAUCUGCGGCCUAUCAGGUUGUAGUGGGUGUAAUGUACCUACUAGCCUACGACGGGUACGGGUUGUGGAAGCAAGAGCCCGGAGAUGGAUUCUGAGACAUGAAUCCAGGCCCUACGGGGCGCAGCAGGCGCGAAAACUUUACAAUGCGGGAAACCGUGAUAAGGGAACACUGAGUGCUAGCAUUUAUGUUAGCUGUCCACAUGUGUAAAUAGCAUGUGAUAGCAAGGGCUGGGCAAGACCGGUGCCAGCCGCCGCGGUAACACCGGCAGCCCGAGUGGUGAUCACUAUUAUUGGGUCUAAAGGGUCCGUAGCCGGUUUAAUCAGUCUUCUGGGAAAUCUAAUCGCUUAACUAUUAGGCUUCCAGGGGAUACUGUUAGACUUGGGACCGGGAGAGGUAAGAGGUACUGCACG
rnacentral:rRNA from 1 species